GGUAAUUUUCCUUGAAGGUCCUCCUGGAGGGGGGUACUAGCCGAGGUAAGGCCAUUGGAUCGGUCCCUGUGUUUGGAACGAUGAUUGAAUAGGUAUCGAUGAAGUAGUGGCUGAUGAUCGAGCAGGUAUCGCUCCUUCUUCUGUUGGGUUGACAAGUGCUGGAUCCGGGAUUUGUUGAGGUGAGUUGGAGGCUUCUUCCAUUUGUUGGUUUUGUCAAGGUUUUUUUUUUAGCAGAGUAAAGAAUUCUAUUCGGUGGCUGGUUUGUUUUGCAGGUUGGAGUCGCAAUAGCAAACCAAAAAAGGAACCGAAAAGCAAUUUGAAGAUGCAGAAGCUUAGGCCAGAAAAGAGUGCUCUGAUACCAUGACAGAAAUUGGAAUAAAGUGGAGAGGAAGAACCGCAGCUUUGUAUUUCAGUAUGUUUCUUG
rnacentral:lncRNA from 1 species